UACGUAGGGUGCGAGCGUUAAUCGGAAUUACUGGGCGUAAAGCGUGCGUAGGCGGUUCGUUAAGUCAGCUGUGAAAGCCCCGGGCUCAACCUGGGAAUUGCGGUUGAAACUGGCGAACUAGAAUCUGGCAGAGGGGGGUGGAAUUCCACGUGUAGCAGUGAAAUGUGUAGAGAUGUGGAGGAACACCGAUGGCGAAGGCAGCCCCCUGGGCUGAGAUUGACGCUCAGGCACGAAAGCGUGGGGAGCAAACAGG
rnacentral:rRNA from 1 species